AGACAUGGUCUUCUUAGAACCUGAGAAAGUGGGAACCCAGCAACCACAGUUCAACAAAUACGUCCCUUACAAAUAAAAAAAAAAGAAAGAAAAAGAAAACCUGCCACAUUUCCUUUGAGUGUUUUAAGUUACAGGAAGGAGGCACUCGUACAACCUUAUUGAGCCUUGUGUUGCAGCAGGGCUGGGCUCUUUUCCUUAGUAUGCAAAGCGGUACAAUUUAUAUCUACAUAUAUGCAGCGCUGCUAGCUUGGGCGGCAAGAAAAGAGCCCAGUCCAACUACAGCUACAAGGCCCAAUAGGAUUGUACAGUUAAUACUAACAAACUCAUGGAUAAGAGUAUACCAUCAAACGUUUGUACGUCAGAAAAGGUUACAAAAUUUUAUGGAUAUUUUUGGCCAAUGUCCUUGCUCAAAUGGAUAAGAGUAAAUCAUCAAAAUUCUUAUAGUGUAUCUACUUUUCUUAGGAUAAAAGAUCAGUUUUUUUUACCUAGCACUGAAACACAAAUCAAAGAAAAGGUUGGACCAGACUUGUCGUUUCCUUUGUUGAACAGUUAUGAUAAUAAGAGUUUCAACAGAAAAUCAAGUGGUAACAAGAUAAAACUGCCAGCCACGAAAUACCCAAGUUCGACCAGUAUCUAUCUACAACGCCAUAUCCUGCCUAACUUAGCUAGCAGUAGAAAAGUGCAAACAGUGAAGAAAACAUACGGUAAGAAAGAAUUACCUGCAGAUUUCUU
rnacentral:misc_RNA from 1 species